UCAAUAGUUUUGUAUAUAUUGUCCAAACAAUUUGGCCUAGGACUUUGGCCUUCCACGUUACAUAAGUUGAAGGAGCCACUUUAGAAAGUUGUUUGAUAAUAAAGUUUUGAUUUAACCUAGAGAAAGGUCGAAGAAGUAUGAGUUGAGCAUCAUUUGCCAUGAUCAUCAAAUGGAAAGUCUAGGGCAUUCAUUAAUUUUUUGAUUAUCUAUCCAUAUUUUUUUCAUGUAUUAACAUUUUUUAUAUUAUUUUUUUAAUUUUUUUUAUAUUUAUUGACUGCAUCAAGAUGAUGUGCCCGCAUUCAACCACAUUGCUAAGCCCCCAUUGACUGCAUCGGUCCACAUCCCUCAUUUCAAAAACAUCACCACCAAUUUUGGAAAGACUUGUCCAUGUUAACCCAAACAAUCUUGCCCCCCCUCUCUCGCUUGGCAUAUAGAGAGCCAAUCGGCAAAUAAGACUGCAUUAACCCAAAUAAAUUCUGCCAUUCCCCUUCAAACAGAGGCUACUAAGAGACACCCGUGUAUAUACUUAACUACACCCUAUAUUCACUUCAAAGGGAGGGCGGUAAUAAGAAAAACAAAAAACCCCAAUUUCCCCUACCCACCAGAAAAAUCAUAAAUCUCCUCUCUCUCUCUCUCUCUCUCUCUCUCUCUCUCUCUCUCUAC
rnacentral:lncRNA from 1 species